CUAAUCCCAUGCUGCCAAGAAAAGCCUCUAGCGAGCUUGCACGGUACCCGUACCCCAAACCGACACAGGUGGACAGGUAGAGAAUACCAAGGCGAUCGGGAGAACUGUGGUUAAGGAACUCGGCAAAAUCCCUCCGUAACUUCGGGAGAAGGAGGACCCCAUUAGGGUGAAGGACCACGCGUCCGGAGCUCGAAGGGGUGGCACAGACCAGGGGAAAGCGACUGUUUACUAAAAACACAGCAGCGUGCGAAGUCGUAAGACGAUGUAUACGCUGUGACGCCUGCCCAAUGCCGGAAGGUUAAAGGGAAGGGUUAGUCCGCAAGGGCGAAGCUCUGAACUGAAGCCCCGGUGAAUGGCGGCCGUAACUAUAACGGUCCUAAGGUAGCGAAAUUCCUUGUCGGGUAAGUUCCGACCUGCACGAAUGGCGUAACGACUUUCCUACUGUCUCAACCACAGACCCGGCGAAAUUGAAGUACGAGUAAAGAUGCUCGUUAGCUGCAGAAGGG
rnacentral:rRNA from 1 species